rnacentral:rRNA from 1 species
UACGGGGGGAGCAAGCGUUGUUCGGAUUUACUGGGCGUAAAGGGCGCGUAGGCGGCCACCGCAAGUCGACUGUGAAAUCUCCGGGCUUAACCCGGAAAGGUCAGCCGAUACUGCAGGGCUAGAGUGCAGAAGGGGCAACUGAAAUUCUCGGUGUAGCGGUGAAAUGCGUAGAUAUCGAGAGGAACACCUGCGGCGAAGGCGGGUUGCUGGGCUGACACUGACGCUGAGGCGCGAAAGCUAGGGGAGCGAACGGG